rnacentral:rRNA from 1 species
UACGGGGGGGGCAAGCGUUGUUCGGAAUUACUGGGCGUAAAGGCUCGUAGGCGGCCAACUAAGUCCGACGUGAAAUCCCCAGGCUUAACCUGGGAACUGCGUCGGAUACUGGAUGGCUUGGAUUCGGGAGAGGGAUGCAGAAUUCCAGGUGUAGCGGUGAAAUGCGUAGAUAUCUGGAGGAAUACCGGUGGCGAAGGCGGCAUCCUGGACCGACAUUGACGCUGAUGAGCGAAAGCUAGGGGAGCAAACGGG